CCAACACAAAUUCUGUCAUCAAAGCAGCAAUCUACAUAGCUUUCUAUGAAUUCCUAAGACCUAGAGAAUUCACCACGACCAACGCUACACAAUCUACUCCUAUUCUCCUCUAUUCCCACUUAACAAAACACAUGGAUCAUUGCAUCCUGACUCUGCCUCACUCCAAAACCAGUCAGCAUGCGCCAGUAAAAAUAGCUUACUAUCCCACGCACAACAGGUGGUGCACCGUCAUGAUUCUUGAUACAUACAUACAGCAUCAUAACUUACUACCAUCACAACCAUUAUUCACACUACAAAGUUCGAUA